CGCACACAGUUUACGCCCACCGUAUUUUCAAAUCAAUGUUCUAGAUCCUUCCACUUCAUCUAAAAAAGAACCCAAGACUGGUGUGUUUUGUACAUGUUUACGAACAAGACGUAUAAUGAUUUAUAAUUUCUUUAGGUUUUGAUUUACAACAAGGAACAUAAUGCAAGAUUUUGAGACAUCUGAUGACCAAGGCGAAGGCGAAUAUGAUGAUAGCUCUGGAGAAUUUGACAUGUGUGCAAUUCUCAAAGAUCGGAUCGAUGAUUUACCAGAGAUACAUAUGGCUACUUCCUGACUGGAUCAUAGAGGAAAGAGUCAUGAUGCAUACCGGUCGGCUCUACAGGGUGUAUUACGAUCCCCCGUAAAACCCUGGACUAGAAAGCACGAAGUGAUUGAAAACUAGAGCUGAAUGGGUAUCAUCUUGAUUGGGGAUUCCCCAAUCAAGAUUAGUUAGUUGAUAGACUGUAAUGGCCUUCUUAUAAUUAGGUCAAGAUUAGUUGUUAGCGUAACAAACUGGAUUUUUGUCCCCUUUGUAACCAAAAAAAAAAAGAGAGAAGAUGAGCCUAUUGAAAUCUAAUAUGAAUUUUGUUCAUGUAUGGCAAUGUUAUUGUGUUAUAAACUUUUAUGGAUUAAUAUUAAGGAAAAUUAUUGUCUUGAAAA